UAGUACAUUCAUAAUAAUUAUUUAUUAAUCUGUUCAUACAAAAAGAAUUUCAACUUUCCUGGUCCUGAAAUAUGCAAAUAUGAUAAGGCACUCUUAACUCUUUCAGAACUCAAAGUGUGGAGUGAGAUAUACAAACACUCGAAACAAAUACACUUAAAUAUUACAAAGUCUAAUUCAGGACUAAACUUGACUUAAAUAUUAUUAUAAGAACAGGUGUGGAAAGGAGCUUGUGAUUAGGAUAGUAGGUUUAGAGGACACAUCAAUGCAGAGGCUAGAAAUUAAUUGAAAAGUGACCUUUCUUUCAGACAGGGAAGAAUUGUUAUAUUAGAAAAAAACAGUAUAUUCAAACAGGCACAAGUAUGGGUUAUUCUAGGAAAAGGGCCUGAUUCUGUGUACUAGAGCAGGUAGAAUAUAGAGAGAUGAGACUGACUUUAUAACUUGGUACCUGUCAAAAGUUUUAUGCUAUGCUGAAAAGUUUGGACUUGAUAUUGGGAGACAUAUUUUUCAGUUUUGUUUUUUGGUUAGCAGAGGUUUGAUGCAAUCACAUUUGGUGUUAGAUAGAUAACGCUGGGUACAGUGUGGAGAAUAAAUGGGGAGGGGCUAUUGUCGCUAUCAUAGCUGUGGUGAAGAAAGUGAGGUAAAAAUUGAUUCAAGAGAUGUUCAAGAAAUAUAAUCAACAGAACUCAAUUGAAUUGAAAUGGGCUCUUGGUCCCUCUAGAUUGUUUUUCCUUUCUUUUUCUUUUCUUUUUAAAUACAAGUCUGCCCUUAUUUCAAGAUCUAAAUUGUUGAGAGCACCUGCCACCAUCUAAGUAGAAGUCAAUUGCUUUCUUGCUGACUUCUUUUUUAAGAACAAAUCAAACUCUCGUCCUUGCCCUUUAGAUAUUAGAGUUAUCUUUGGAUGAGAACACUGCUUAGUUGUGGAAGAAUUGUCAAGAAAAUGAUGCCCAUAUAUGUAUUUAAAAGUUACCUCCCUAUGGUACUACUUAAAAUAGGCUAAAUGGCAAAUCUGUGGAUAGAAAAAAAAAUGUACCAAUUUCAAAGAAGAAAGAUCUUGAAAGUUGUAUUUGAAACUCUCUUUCACAGUGUAUAUUAGGCAUACAAUAUAUCACAAAAGGUGUUAAGGUAAAUUCCAGAUUGUCAUUUUCCAGAGGGCAAAGAAACAACACAUACAGAAUUGUGUUUUUCUGUAAGAACAAAUGCAUUUCUCAUACUACAGUAGAUCCUACAUCCUAAUCUACUAUGUGUGAUGUCUAAGGAAAUUUGUUCUCUCAAUGCCAAAAUGUUUGUUGCCUUUUCCUCCCAGUUGUGGAUAUUGUUUAAAAUUCAUAUGCCUCUGCCACUUCUCAAAAUUUCAGUUGCUCAUUUUUCUGUUCUUUAAAAGGUUUUUAAUACUUAAGAAAUCAUUUAUCAUGGUCUCUUCCUUCAGUAGCAGUCACUCUGAGUUGGCAAUCUUACAGAUUUUAUAAUCCCCUUCUUUCCUGGCAACGAAUUCUUGAUUUUGUUCAGAAAUGCAAUUACAUUACGAGAAGAUGAACUAUGAUUACUGUAAAGCAGUAGUGGUAGAACAUUAUCCACUGUUAGAAAUUUACUUUUGUAGUCUUCUGUGAAACUAACAUAUAGUCAUAUGAUAAGUAUGGGCAAAUGAGGGGUUAGUAUUAUUAUUUUAAAAGCCUUCUGGAAGGAUUUUGACUGUCUGAUAAUACAGAUAGUAUGCUGAGAAUCUGCUUUUACUUUUCCCUCAAUAAAUGUAUAAAUCAUUAAAUAGAGUCAUGAUACCCACUGAGGUGGUAGUCAUCUUUCAAUCAGAAGUAACAUGCACAAUGACCAAAAUACAAAGCUAUGAGGAUGGUGGAACAAAUGGGAUAAAAAAACCUGAGUUCUGAGGUGUGAACAUAAAUUACUCUCUGAGGGCAAAAAACAAACAAACAAACAAAAAUCCUGAUUUGUAGCAUUUGCCAAUUUUAAUGUAUACAUAAUCUAACUAUAGUUGAAUUUACCAAUCACAGAACAUCCAGCACACCACUGCCUGGGUCCCUUAUGACAUAAAUGAGCUACUGGGCUUGCUCUAGAUUAUCUAACUUAGAUGUCGCUACUUACUUAUUUUUAAAAAUACUUAACUAAACAUCUACUAUAUGUCAGGAGCUCUCCAAGGCAUUUGGGAUACAUCAUUGAAUGAAGUAUAAAAAAGAAAAUCCUUUUUUUUUUUUUCACAGAGCUAAAAUUCUAUAAGGGCGAGAAAGACCAUCAACAAUCAACAUAACAGAUAACUACAUUAUGUGAUAUUUUAGAAGUUGAUAGCCUCAUUAAAAAAAGAAAGAAACAGUAGAGCAGAGUAAGGAAGAUAAUAAGAAUCUAGUGGCCAGAAGAGGCAAAUUGUAGUAAUAAAUAAGAAGGUCCAGAUAGGACGCAUUGAGUCAGUGACAUUUGACCAAAAUUUUGAAAGAGAAGAAAUGUUUCACUAAUUGGAUAUCUGCGAGCGGAGCAUUCCAGGCAGAGGGGACUGCAAGAGCAAAGGCGGUUGCUCAGGAGCCUGCUUGCGGAGACAUCAGGAGCAACGUUAGCAAGAAAAAGGAGGAAAGGCAAAUAGGCAUUUACUUUAAGCAUUACAAACUAGCAAAAUGUCCCAACAAUGAAGAAAUACUUACUUUUAAGAAUAAAAUGAAGAAAAUAUGAGAUCUAAGUGAGCAACUGGGAAGUUUACUCCAACAGAUCUGAGUCAACAUUUACAAAUCCCUAUGCUACACUGAAUAGUUCAGAACUUUGGAACUUCAAGACUCUGGUACAUUCAUCAAGAAAAUAUCUCCAUCCAGGUGUCUGGAUGGGCAGUUUGCAGCUCUUCUGCAGUGGGCCAUUUGCAGCUUUUCUCAGGGGAAAGGCUACACUGUGGGGCUUCUUCAAUCUCAACACACAGAAGAGUAACUGCUAUUGAAUUCACAUUUAAAACAUAGCUAUAUUUUCCAAAUCAGUUUUCCAUGCUAUCAUUUUAUUUGCACUUCAUAAAAAUACCAUAAAGUAGAAAGGACUGAAAAGUAUCAUAUUUAACUUAGGAGGGGGUGAAGGAUACUGGUUGAGUGCAAGGGUGUUGGAGUAGGAAAGACUGAGUCUGAAUCCCAGCUUUGUCAUUUACUGUUUCUUUCUGUAAGUUAUAUAUUCUUUUUUUUUCCUCAGUUCCCCAUUUAUAAAAUAGAAAAAAUGGCACCACCUACUCAUAAGUUUGUUUUGAGAAAUACAGUGUAUGAUACCUGUUAAACACAUUGGAUAAUGCCCAGAUGUAUUAUAUAUUCAAUAAAUGAAAAUUGUUAUUUAUGUUAAUAGUAUUGCUUUUGAAUGGAAAAAUGAUACACAGAGAAGUUAAAAUGAUGUGAAAAAAGCCAAGAGCUGGUUAAUAGCAUAGUUGAAUUUAGAAGUCACUUUAAUUCCUGUAUCCCUAACCUACAAUAUUUCCCUAACCUAUGACAGUAUGUGAUUAAGUGCAAAAUAUAUAGAUAAUAAAAAGUUACAUAAAAGUUUGCAUGACAUGGACAAUCGUAUACUCCAUGUAUUCUACCUUGGAAAACCAAUGAUAAUUCUAAAUUUUACUUGAAGUUUCCUAGCUCCAUAAGCUGUUUACUAGAUAGAAAUCUUUUGUUAUGUAUUUGAAAAAUCAGAUAAUCUAAAAUGUAUCCCCUGGUUGUGACCUGAACUUCUUCGGUCUCAGUGGACAUAAAUAUUCCAAUCUUGUGUACAGUUUAUCUUUGAAUAUAAAUAAAUAUAUGGUUUCUCAUUUGUGAAUUGACCAGAUGAAGUUGUUUAGUUUUAACUAACUCUGUAACAGAAUUAUAGCCCCUAGAAUGCAUAAUAUGUUGCAUCAAAAGUACCAUUUCUUUUCAUUAUGGGAUAUCACUUACCAUCCAUGGGGGUCUUUCCCACUCAAUACAGAAAGGCCUGGGAAUUAAUUUUGACAAAAUGCCUUAAGAAAACACACACAGAAAAUAGGAGUACGUACAAGAGUUGAAUAGUAUAUGCCAAACAUACAAUAUAUUCUAAUGAUAUCACAACAAUAUACUGUUCUCAGUCUUCAAAUAGCCUCAACUAUUACAUUACUAUGGAUCUCAUGAUUUGGAGAAGAUUGCAAAGACAUGUUACUUUGGCUAGCUCUUGGAAGAUAUUUAGAGUUUAGUUGGGCAACAAAAAGCAGUCAGAACAGUCCAUGUUACUAAUUUGAUAUUCGAUGAUGUCUAAGAGUCAAUAAUGAUGACAAAUUAGUGUGUUUACAUGUGGAGCAGAUCCACAUAGUUGGAUACAAAAACCAGAUAUUACUAUGAAACUGUGUGCAGAUUAUCUUAGAAAAUAUCCUUCGUGGCUAGCUGUGCACACUAUGAUAUUCCACCCCUUGUGCCAUAGGUUAGAUGAAGGUUUGUCCUUCACUUAAAGAAUUUUGCUGUGUGUGUGCAUGUGUGUGUGCGUGUGUGUGUAUUGCUAUAGGCUCACUUAGGAGACCCCUAUAAGAAUGGAACUUAGCUAUAGUUUUUGGAUUUUAAGACUGUUCUGUUUGCACUUCUUAAUUCUGUAAAAGAGAAACCAGACUGUAAAUUGAUAAAAGGGAGAUUUAAAUAGUGACUUAAAUACAACAUCUCUUUCUACAAACUCCAGAAAUAUAAAUACACUUCCCCAGAUUUAGAAUAUUGUGAUUAAAGAGAACUAGAGAACAGAAGGAAACAGAUAUUGAGUGGGUAAUGAAUCCACAUCAAGUAAAAGAUUUGUAAAAAUAUAUUGUAAAAUUAAAAAAAAGCAUAGUAUCAG
rnacentral:lncRNA from 1 species